AAACGGGGCGGCAACACAGCUGACAAGUAGCGAAUCUCUCCGUCUCUCACUGAUGUUUUUACUGCUUUCAGAAAUGGUUCAGUGUCAUGGGAAUAAGUCCGUUAGCAUCACAACCGUGAGCUAACAGAGGCUAACUAUAAGAGCAGAGUUGGAGUGGACCUCUUGUUGAAGAACUUCUCCAGGCACUAUGAACCAUCUGACUAUCCUGUAUGUCUUACAAGGCCAUCCUGUUUAACACUGCACUGAGGACACUACAACCAGAGAGAUGCUGUCAUGAAACGCCAUGAAAAGGCAACUGCUGGACACCUGGGACAGGCCAUCAAUUCCAAGUUGGCGUCAAUUCCCUGUUAGAGUUUAGAGUUGUCUAAUAGAGAGGGUGAAGGAAGAACAUCCAAACCCUGCCCCUGCUUCCUUCAAGAUUUUUUAUGGAUUUAUAUAAUGGUGUUUUUUCAUAAAGUAAAGGCAGUGGCAAAAUUAACAUGACACUACUUUGAUGUUUUGUUCUACAAAUUAAACCACACACACACUCCAAAAACACCAAUUUUGAUACAAUUU
ensembl:lncRNA